rnacentral:rRNA from 1 species
UACGUAGGUGGCAAGCGUUGUCCGGAAUUAUUGGGCGUAAAGCGCGCGCAGGCGGUCCUUUAAGUCUGAUGUGAAAGCCCACGGCUCAACCGUGAAGGGUCAUUGGAAACUGGGGGACUUGAGUGCAGGAGAGAAGAGUGGAAUUCCACGUGUAGCGGUGAAAUGCGUAGAGAUGUGGAGGAACACCAGUGGCGAAGGCGACUCUUUGGCCGUGUAACUGACGCUGAGGCGCGAAAGCGUGGGGAGCAAACAGGAUUGAGAUCCCCGAGUAAGUCCA